AUGGCCCUGAUGAGGAUCCAAGCUAAGCAAAUACUCUUGAUAUGCUAUUGCAUGUUGGCCUUCUUGGAGAACAACACGAAGUGGAUGUUGGGCAACACGCCACUGUGGGCGAUCGUGAUGCCGUCAAGCAUCUUGGAGAGCUCCUCAUCAUUGCGAGUGGCGAGAAGCAGGUGGCGCGGCAUGAGGCGGGUCUUCUUGUUGUACUGGGCCACAUUGCCCGCCAACUCCAGCAUAUGUGGUUUAAAGAAUCUACGAGAUUGGUCGUUGGUUGGUUACGUCGGCGGCAAGGUAUUCGAGGACGGCGGCAAGGCCAAUGGGGCCGCUGGAGCCGACGCGGUCCACGUAGCGUCCCUUCUUGAGAUAGUGCCCGACGUGGCCGGCGGUAAACUAGAGUCCAGCCUUCGUGGAUCGGGUCACCGCCUUCUUCCGCUCGGCACUCUUCCUCUCGUCCAUCUCCCGUCCUUCUACGACGAACUUCAAUCUCUCGAAAUGAUCGGCUCGGCUGGUUCUAUCCAUGUCGCCGACGUCUUUGCCAUUGGAUCUGGAAGAUCCAUGUGGCUACGAUUAGCUCGGGGCAUGAUCCAAAUUCAAGCAUGUCAUGAAGCACUCAACAAGAAAAGGCAUCAUGUGAAGAAGAUCAAGAAGGACAAGGAAAUGUUUUGGGUAUUCAACCCGUGGACCGAGCAGACUGAAAAAAAACAACCACACACGGAGGACGGGCUCACCUCCUCUCCCUCUCGCCCACGAUGUCCUCGCCGCCGCCACCACCCAUGUCGUCCACUUCCGGUGAGCUCCGGCGCCACGCACCAUGCCCCUGAGCUCCCAACGGUCCUCUCCUCGCUCCCCUCUAGCCAGAUUCUCUGCUCCCGGCCUCUACCGGCCGCUCGCAACCCCAUCCCCAUGGCUAGGGUUUCAGGCAGGGCUUCGCCGGCGUCAAGGGCAUCUUCACGGAGAUGUGAAGGACGCCAUGGACCUGCAGCUCCUCAUGGUUUUAUCAUGUUCCUAUCUCAUCCGCUCCCUUUCCCGUCCCUUCCCCAUCUCGGUUCCUUCCCUUCUUGCGCAGGUCAGCGGGGAGGAACCCUAGCCGGCAGCACCUCCUCACCUUGGAUGACGCCUCUGCUGCGCCAAGAUAGGGCAAGCAACCCCAUCUGCUCUCAAUCUCUCCCAUUAGCACAAGUCCAGUUUUCUUGA
rnacentral:rRNA from 1 species